AUUGAACGCUGGCGGCAUGCUUUACACACGCAAGUCGAACGGCAGCGCGGGCUUCGGCCUGGCGGCGAGUGGCGAACGGGUGAGUAAUACAUCGGAACGUGCCCAGUAGUGGGGGAUAGCUCGGCGAAAGCCGGAUUAAUACCGCAUACGACCUGAGGGUGAAAGCGGGGGAUCUUCGGACCUCGCGCUAUUGGAGCGGCCGAUGGCAGAUUAGCUAGUUGGUGGGGUAAAGGCCUACCAAGGCGACGAUCUGUAGCUGGUCUGAGAGGACGACCAGCCACACUGGGACUGAGACACGGCCCAGACUCCUACGGGAGGCAGCAGUGGGGAAUUUUGGACAAUGGGCGAAAGCCUGAUCCAGCAAUGCCGCGUGUGUGAUGAAGACCUUCGGGUUGUAAAGCACUUUUGGCGGGAACGAAAAGGACUGUGCCAAUACCACGGUUCGAUGACGGUACCCGCAGAAUAAGCACCGGCUAACUACGUG
rnacentral:rRNA from 1 species